AUGGAUACCCAUUACCCGUGGGUAGAAAAUCUCUUUAAGUCUUGCCCAUACUCACUGUUUUCGGGUAGGGUACCCGCGGGUAUCCAUACCCAUGGGCAAAACUGCCAUCCCUAUGAGUGGGAACCUACUAUUAAAAUUAAAAUUAAAGAUCAUGAAUGCUAUGCUUUAUGUGAUUUGGGUGCUAGUGUUUCCACAAUUUCAAGAACUUUGUGUGAUGUGUUAGGUUUCCGUGAAUUUGAUAAUUGUUCUUUAAAUUUGCAUUUUGCGGAUUCCACUAUUAAAAAACCUAUGGAAAGGAUUAAUGAUGUUCUUAUUGUUGCGAAUAGUAAUUAUGUGCCAGUAGAUUUUAUUGUUCUUGAUAUAGAUUGCAAUUGUACUUGUCAUAUUAUUCUUGGUAGACCUUUUCUUAGAACGAUUGGUGCAAUUAUUGAUAUGAAAGAAGGAAAUAUUAGAUUCCAAUUUCCAUUAAGGAAAAGCAUGGAACACUUUCCUAGGAAGAAAGUUAAAUUACCUUAUGAAUCUAUUAUGAGAUCCACUUAUGGAUUGCAUACCAAAGAUGAUAAUACCUAA
rnacentral:rRNA from 1 species